UACCCAGGCCUUGACUCCACUGUGUGACUUUUGGCAAACCACCUAACUCUUUGGGCCUCAGCUUCCCUGUCUGUCAAAUGUACACAGAACUCUAGGGCCACAGUUCUCAACGGCGGUUGCCUGGGAUAGCAGCAUUAGCCAUUACCCCGGAGCUUGCUGGAGAUGCAAACUCUCCUGCCCUCCCUGAAUUGACUAAAUUCUGAGGCCCCAGGAGCAGAAGCCAGUCAUCUGUGUUUCACAAGCCCUUCUGAGGCUUGAGACUGUAAUUCGCUUAAUUAUUUCCCAGAGCCCCGGUUUGGUGGCCACAGCACAGCACGAGGCAGAGGAACAGAGACAGGUCCUCGGAAGCCUCUUUCCAGAAAAUCUAAUUUCAUCAUUGAGAAAUCUUCUGUCUUAAACAGCCUCCGCCACCGCCAUAAAUUUGCAUAUUCUAUAUGCCGCCGGAACGGAGUGGGCCCUAUUUGCAUAAUGCUGCUGGAGGGGCUCAUGCUCCUCUUGAACCUGAAUGUAGCAGGAGCGAGGAAGCAAUUAUUAAGCUGUAGACGUUGGCAGGGAGAGAGGUCUCAGAUGGAUUUCUGCUCCAAACCUCAUUCACCUGGGCUGCUCAUUACCGAAGGCCUGGGUCCCAGGCCGAAGGUGGGAUCCCAGGGCUGGGAAAAAUCAGUGUGAAUUGCUUUCUCCAGGUUAUGUCUGCAGCCAGGGCAAGGCCAGACGUGGGAGUUCUUGAGCAUCCUUGACUAUUCAUUGCUUUGCUCAGUCAUUUAUUCAACAAUCACAGGACACAAGGUACGGAGUUGAACAAAACAGAUGGACUUCCCACCCUCCCAAGGAUGACACUCUAGAGUGGGAAGACCAACAUUCAUCAGAUAACAUUCCUUCCACUCCCAAAGCUCCCUGCUCCAUUCCUAUAGUAAGCUGAAGCUGAGUACACCGGAUGCCAGAACGGUAAGUGGGGAAGAGAAGGACAUUCUGGGUCCUCUGAUGAGUUACCACGAAAUAAGCGCUGGGCUCUGGGUCAAGAGGCCAACCCCAGCUUUGCUGCUGACAUUCCAUGUUGUCUUGAACCAGUCACAUCCUAUCUUAGGGUCUUCAUAUCUUCAUCCAUCAGUGAAAUAAAUCCAUAAAAAUAUCCACCUGUCUUGUAUCAUGGACUUUAAUGAGAUAAUGUCUAGAAAAGAGGGUUCUAUGACAUGAAUAAGUGUAGUAACU